AUGAACGCUGGCGGCGUGCCUAAUACCUGCAAGUCGAGCGAUCAGACGAGGAGCUUGCUCCUCUGACGUUAGCGGCGGACGGGUGAGUAACACGUGGAUAACCUACCUAUAAGACUGGGAUAACUUCGGGAAACCGGAGCUAAUACCGGAUAAUAUAUUGAACCGCAUGGUUCAAUAGUGAAAGACGGUUUUGCUGUCACUUAUAGAUGGAUCCGCGCCGCAUUAGCUAGUUGGUAAGGUAACGGCUUACCAAGGCAACGAUGCGUAGCCGACCUGAGAGGGUGAUCGGCCACACUGGAACUGAGACACGGUCCAGACUCCUACGGGAGGCAGCAGUAGGGAAUCUUCCGCAAUGGGCGAAAGCCUGACGGAGCAACGCCGCGUGAGUGAUGAAGGUCUUCGGAUCGUAAAACUCUGUUAUUAGGGAAGAACAAAUGUGUAAGUAACUAUGCACGUCUGGACGGUACCUAAUCAGAAAGCCACGGCUAACUACGU
rnacentral:rRNA from 1 species